UUAUUUUUUUAGCGGAGGAAAAAGAAACCUAACUAGGAUUCCCCAAGUAAUGGCGAAUGAAAGGGGAAGAGCCCAGCGCUGAAUCUCUCGGUCUAAGGCCGCUGAGAACUGUAGCGUAUAGGUGUGACUGUCCAGCUAUAUUGCAUUUCCCAAGUCUCUUUGAUAGGGGCCAACAUCCAAAGAGGGUGCGAGACCUGUACGGAAAGUAGUGUAGUUGGUAUGGUUACUCCUUGGAGUCGGGUUGCUUGAAAGUGCAGCCUAAAGUGGGUGAUAAACUUCAUCUAAGGCUAAAUAUCGACGCGAAAUCGAUAGCAAACAAGUACCGUGAGGGAAAGUUGCAAAGAACUUUGAAGAGAGAGUUCAAGAGAACGUGAAAUCGCUGAAGUGGAACCGGAGAGAGUUAACAUAACUUGGUAGCUAUAUUCUCUAUAGUCGCUUAACUGUGGCUCUGGGGAGUGGACGCUACCUGUUGUUGCACUGACUGCGUUGAUCGUGCUUUCCGAACAGUGUAGUGUUGCCCACUUUGUGGUGUCUUGCUUACUGGGAGGUUUGUCAUGGUUAACGUAUAGCCUUAGUCCCGAGGGAGUCAGUGUGAAAGUUAACCACCUUUCCGACCCGUCUUGAAACACGGACCGAGGAGUGUAAGUUAUACGCGAGUCAAGGAGUGGUGAAAACUCUAGGGGCGGAAUGAAAGUAAAGACUAGUUAACUAGUUGACAUGGGAUCCGCUCUUCGGAGCGGCGCACCAUGGCCCUGUCUUGUCUGCUUGCAGAUGGGCAGCGGUAGAGCGUAUAGCUUGCGACCCGAAAGAUGGUGAACUAUGCUUGAGCAGGACGAAGCCAGAGGAAACUCUGGUGGAAGUCCGUAUCGGUUCUGACGUGCAAAUCGAUCGAUAGACUUGAGUAUAGGGGCGAAAGACUAAUCGAACCGUCUAGUAGCUGGUUCCUUCCGAA
rnacentral:rRNA from 1 species